rnacentral:rRNA from 1 species
AUGUUUCAGAAAGGUCGCCUUGAUGUUUUGAACAUACGGCCAGGUCAUCCUAUGAAUCACUCCUGUCCAUAUCGGAUUUCUAAAACCGAUGAAGACAUGACAAUCAAAGAUUGGAAAAAAUGUAUGGUCAAUCAUAGGGAGCUACUUGGAAGCAACAUUGUGCGAAGGGCAAGAAUUGGUGACAGGAUAAUCUCCAUUCUCCAUAAUGAAGAGUCAGGGCCUAUCUUAUUUAUGCUAUUUUACCUAAAAGAAGGUAGUAGGUCCUAUGAGAGAGAAGUAGGUCCUAGGUACAAUGUGUUAUUAUGUGGUACAAUGUGUUAG